rnacentral:rRNA from 1 species
GAGAGUUUGAUCCUGGCUCAGGACGAACGCUGGCGGCGUGCUUAACACAUGCAAGUCACGGGGGCCCGCAAGGGUAACCGGCGAACGGGUGCGUAACACGUGAACAAUCUGCCUAGAUGUGGGGGAUAGCCGGCCCAACGGCCGGGUAAUACCGCAUACGCUCUUCGGGUGGCAUCACUUGAAGAGGAAACCUCCGGGGCAUCUAGAGGAGUUCGCGGCCUAUCAGCUAGUUGGUGGGGUAACGGCCUACCAAGGCAAUGACGGGUAGCUGGUCUGAGAGGAUGGCCAGCCACAUUGGGACUGAGAUACGGCCCAGACUCCUACGGGAGGCAGCAGUGGGGAAUAUUGCGCAAUGGCCGAAAGGCUGACGCAGCGACGCCGCGUGGGGGAUGAAGCAUUUCGGUGUGUAAACCCCUGUUGCCCGGGACGAACAAGCGAUUUUGAUCGCUCUGACGGUACCGGGUGAGGAAGCACCGGCUAACUCCGUGCCAGCAGCCGCGGUAAUACGGAGGGUGCGAGCGUUGUCCGGAAUCACUGGGCGUAAAGGGCGCGUAGGCGGUCUGCUAAGCGUGUGGUGAAAGCUCGGGGCUCAACCCCGAGUCUGCCAUGCGAACUGGUGGACUAGAGCACUGUAGAGGCAGGUGGAAUUCCGGGUGUAGCGGUGGAAUGCGUAGAGAUCCGGAAGAACACCAGUGGCGAAGGCGGCCUGCUGGGCAGUAGCUGACGCUGAGGCGCGAUAGCGUGGGGAGCAAACAGGAUUAGAUACCCUGGUAGUCCACGCCGUAAACGAUGGGGACUAGGUGCUUGGGGGAGCGACCCCUCGAGUGCCGGCGCUAACGCAUUAAGUCCCCCGCCUGGGGAGUACGACCGCAAGGUUGAAA